UACGUAGGGUGCGAGCGUUAAUCGGAAUUACUGGGCGUAAAGCGUGCGCAGGCGGUUUUGUAAGACAGAUGUGAAAUCCCCGGGCUUAACCUGGGAACUGCGUUUGUGACUGCAAGACUCGAGUACGGCAGAGGGGGGUGGAAUUCCGCGUGUAGCAGUGAAAUGCGUAGAGAUGCGGAGGAACACCGAUGGCGAAGGCAGCCCCCUGGGCCAACACUGACGCUCAGGCACGAAAGCGUGGGGAGCAAACAGG
rnacentral:rRNA from 1 species